ACCCCUCUCGGUGCCGGUACCUCCCUGGACCGCAGCUGCUGCACCAUGUUCAGCCCUCUCCCGGAUCAGGACACCAGAGCAGGUCCGGGACCAUGCUAACAUGCCCAUAAGCCACGCACGGCGCCCGCCACGCUCCCGCACAACCCGUGCGACCGGUCCAGCACCUCCUGCUGCCGUGGGCCAGCGGCCAGGAGCCCCAUGGCUGCGCCGGCAACGUCUCUUGUGAGUCAGAGAGGAGCCUGGCACCACCACGCCGAAGUUUCUCUCCAGACACUUCCCUGCAUCGAUUCCCUUUCGCAAUGCAGCCUGUCACCGUGGCCUUUGGAUCCUGCCGGGACAGCCGGCGCUGCGGAUGGACACGCUAUUGCCUGCCUGGCAAAGGAACGCUUUCGGGACAAGGGCAACGACACAGCAAAGUCCUCAGGGACUUGGCUCCAUGCUCUGCUUUCCACCAACACCCAGGCGGGAGAUAAAGUCGUGUUUUCCAAAGGUGCCACUGGCCCAGCAAACACCAUCACUCCUCCUCUGGGGCAGGAUGAUCCCUCCUGCCUCCAACAGGUUUCCUGGCAGGAUAAACCCCAGGGCCAGCACGAUGGGCUCCAGCACUGCUUGUCCUGGCCAGAGACCUGACCCCAGCUGGACUUUGCCCACCAUGAAUGAGAUGGCCCAGGAAGUCUGAAUGGGAAGAGAUGGGAAGCAGGGGCAGGGAGGGGAGCAGCGGGGCCCUGGUUGAGCACUGCCAGUGGCGUUAAGAGCAGCGGGGAUUAUCAAACACAAUAUCUCCCCCCCCCCGCCUGGAAUAUAAAGGCAGUGAAACAGAAGCUGUGCGGGAGAUAAGGCAGCAGCACCCAGCAGCUCAUAUGGAAUUACUGCAGUGACCUUGAGCGAGAGGCUGCCAGACAGAAAUCAACGGUCCCGGGCUCGGAAGCGGCUCCGAGGGAUGCCGACCCUCCCCACGGCGCAGCUCCCGCGCUGGUACCCAAGGCCACGGCUGCAAUUUGGAAGUUCUUCUGCCACUCGGCUGCCCCUGUGCCACCAGGCUCCUCCCUUGGAACGGAAGGAGAUACCGGCAUAUUAUUCCAUGGUACGUGACUGACGUGAAACUCCCAUCUACCUGAUUUUGUAUUAACAAAUAUCCCUGGGAACAGAGGUACACGUACAGCCUGGUUUCUAUAAGGUGCACUGGAGGCAUGGAUCUUGUGAAGGGGUUUUGCCAUCAUUUAAGGCAAAGCUACUGCAUAAAAGUAUUCCUGCCUUUGAGACAAUCACGUUGCCUCUAGAACGUGCAGACUCCCUCUUGUCUAGAAACAGAUGGCUUGAGCUGUUUGAGUUGGGCAUAUUCACAAGCUGAUAAUCAUCUCCAGGGAGGCAGGAGCUAUUGUCAGAGCCUGUGAGACACACCCCAACUUCAGGCCUUUUUCCUUCUAAUUCUCAAAAUGUUGCUGAAAUUCUCACUACAGGAAUGCUGAGCAGAGACAUUCCCUUUGUGGGUCUGCGCCCGCUAAAGUCAGAGAAGGUUCCUGGCUUCCACAGAAGCCAAAGCGCUUCCCUGCUAAGAGAAAGCAUCUCAAAGCAUGAGGAGCCCCACCUGGCCAGCAAAAACAAAUAAGCUGUGCUUUGCCAGGAGGAAGAAUAUCUCCUCUCCCCAGAGACAGCACACGAGUUGAAAUGAGAAAGCAAAAGGGAACAGCUCUGCAGAAGGAACAGUUAUUUCACGCGUGUCAGUGUAGAGCAGCACGUGCCUGAGGCUCACACGCCUGGUGCAACCACACAGCGACGUGCAGUUUGUAACAGCGAUGCUCAGCACGGAUACACAUCUGCUGCCUCAGAACCACAAAGGUAUCACAAACCUCAAUUAAUAAUCUAACACUGAUGUCAUCUCUCUGCAGGGCCAAAGCCUUUCCGGGGAAUGCCGUCCAGCUGCUUUAGCAGGAAGACGGCAUUUUACUGGCGUACGCCAGGUCUCUCGUGAUGCCAGGUCAAGAGAGACCCUGCACCCAGUUUGCUUUGCAUUGGAAACCUGCUCUGACCCAAGCCCAGAUGCAGAAUGUGUGACAUUCCAACUUGGAAUGCCUCUACAAAAAGCUCCAUUCCAAAGAAUGGACAAAGAAACCUGGACAGAAAGCAGUGAUAAGCCCAGACACACACAUAGACUGACAGAGGCAGGAAGGGUGGCUCUAACUCAAGGCCUUAUCAUGCUCACAGUAUUUACAGUGUGAAUUUCACUCAUUUUAAUUCAAGAGUGAUUAGUCUCAGAAGGAAGCAAAUGAGCUGGCUCAGAAUGAGGCAUGGCUACCUUGAGCUGGAUGGAGAGAGAUGGCAAGAUCAGCACAAGAGGUAAACUCAUAGAUGUCAAACCAGGCAGGGUGGCACACCUCUUGGGAUAGUGUGUUUUCCCAGGGAUCCAGGGUACCUCCGGGA